UACAGAGGUCCCAAGCGUUGUUCGGAUUUACUGGGCGUAAAGGGCGCGUAGGCGGCGUGACAAGUCAGUUGUGAAAUCUCCGAGCUUAACUCGGAACGGUCAACUGAUACUGUUGUGCUAGAGUACAGAAGGGGCAAUCGGAAUUCUUGGUGUAGCGGUGAAAUGCGUAGAUAUCAAGAGGAACACCUGAGGUGAAGACGGGUUGCUGGGCUGAUACUGACGCUGAGGCGCGAAAGCUAGGGUAGCAAACGGG
rnacentral:rRNA from 1 species